rnacentral:rRNA from 1 species
GAUGAACGCUGGCGGCGUGCCUAAUACAUGCAAGUCGAGCGAACAGACGAGAGUGCUUGCACUCUCUGACGUUAGCGGCGGACGGGUGAGUAACACGUGGGUAACCUACCUAUAAGACUGGGAUAACUUCGGGAAACCGGAGCUAAUACCGGAUAAUAUUUAGCUUCGCAUGAAGCAAUAGUGAAAGACGGUUCUGCUGUCACUUAUAGAUGGACCCGCGGUGUAUUAGCUAGUUGGUGGGGUAACGGCUCACCAAGGCAACGAUACAUAGCCGACCUGAGAGGGUGAUCGGCCACACUGGGACUGAGACACGGCCAAGACUCCUACGGGAGGCAGCAGUAGGGAAUCUUCCGCAAUGGACGAAAGUCUGACGGAGCAAUGCCGCGUGAGUGAAGAAGGUUUUCGGAUCGUAAAACUCUGUUGUAAGGGAAGAACAAGUACGUUAGUAACUGAACGUACCUUGACGGUACCUUACCAGAAAGCCACGGCUAACUACGUG